AUCUUCUCCCAGUUUGUUAGCUGCCUUUCUAGUUUAGUAGCUAUGUCCUUAGCUGUGCAAAAACCUUUUAUUUUGAUAUAGUCCCACUUGUCAAGUCUCUUUCCUAUCUCUUGUGCCCCUGGGAUUCAAAGGAAUAUCCUUUU